ensembl:snRNA U2 U2 spliceosomal RNA
AUCACUUCUUGGCCUUUUGGCUAAGAUCAAGUGUAGGAAAAAACAAUUGAUGAAUUUCAAAAAAUUGCACCAAAAUAAAUGUAAUUUUUGGAUUCCAUUUUCCGUGAACUUUGUCAAGUGUCCUCCUAUGUUUGGCUUUGCCAUCCAGAAAGGCUCUGUUACAGCUCAGCUCUGCUGUGGUGGGGUCAAAGCAA